AAAAAGAUUAAGAAACUAUAUACAGUUCAAUAUAUGACGGGAAUAAUAUUAUUUAAUAUAAUUCAAUUACAGGAUGUGGUCUCUUUCACUGUUUUAUUAUUGGAUUAUGUGGCAUGUGUGCAAUUGCAGAAGCUUGCGUUCUUCCAACUAUUCUAAUUGUAGUUCCAUUCAUGGCAUGUGAUUUAAGUCUAAGUGCAAGUCAAGCAACUACUGUGCACGCUACGUUAACAUUAGGAAUGGCUGUAGGAGGAUUUCUAUUCGGAAUAAUAAUCGAUGCAAGUGGACGUAAGAGUUCCAUUCCUAUUACUAUGAUCGUUGUAUUUUGCGCUACUAUCAGUUUAUCCUUUGCGCAAACUACAUUUCUGAUAUACAUUUCAACAUUUAUACUUGGAUUAGGAUUAGCUGGUAAUAAUGUGGUUUUAAGAGUAUAUCUAAUCGAAUUACUGCCCAUGAAACGAAGAGGCUUUUGUUUAGUUAUUUUGGAUGUAUUAGGAAUCCUUAGUUACAUAUCUAUUUUAGGAAUGUCAUGGCUGCUAAUGCCUUCGAUCUUAUUAUUCCAAAAUAAAAAAUUUCGACCAAAUUCUUGGCGAGUCCUUACAGGAUUAGGAGGUAUACCAAAUUUGAUUAUAGCGUGUGCGACUAGUUUGCUGCCGGCAAGUCCAAGAUAUUUGCUUUAUCGGCGACGGCAUGAGGAAGCAUUAUCGAUAUUACGACAAAUUUAUGCAAUUAAUAAUUCGAAACACGUCGAUACUUUCGUACUUUCACUAAGCAAUUUGGAAAACUGUGUUAAACAAAUUGAAGAGGAAGACGAGGAAACGAAUAAUAUGAUCAGAACGAUACAUAAAUUUUGUAUUAAAACAUAUAAACGUAUUCGAGAAAUAUGUAAAUCAUUUAAAUAUACUACAAUAUUAGGAAUUUGUACUAAUUUUCUGCAAUUUCCGGGGAUUAUGUGGGUUGCUCUCUGGAGUGCACAAAUCCUACAGCAAACCGAGAAUUUUCACAAAUCGUCAAAGAAGGAUUACGCAUGCGUCAUUGAUAUAGAAGACAUGGCGUUAGGGUUUUUGCGUAAUUGUCAAGAGGUGGACAUGGAUCGUUUUCGAAUGCUUUUGUAUUUAUCAUUGAGCUAUUUAGUAGCAGAAAUUUUAUUGGUAAUUGGAAUCGAUGUUGUGGGUAGAAAAAUAUUUCUAGUGUUUUCGGGUGUAGUGGGAGCAACAGCAUGCCUGGGCUUAUUGUUUACAGUUCAUAACGUAAUACAACUCGUUCUUUUACUGAUUAUAUUAGCAACUUACGUAAUUGGUCGUACAACAGCGUCGAUAAUCUUACUGGAAAAUUAUUUUACUGGCGGGUACGAUCAUCGGUUUAUCUAGAAUAUUUCCAUACUUGGUCGGUAGUUUUAGUAAAUUAUUUCUAAAUGUACAGUGCGCUUCUAGCAUCAUCGUUAUGUUGGGAAUUUUAAUGAGCGCUGCCGUUGCAGGAUCACGAAUGACUGAUCUAACCCGGUUACCGAUGCAAGAAUAACUCGUUAACAUUCUUCUAUGGUCUUAUAUAAUCUUGAUAAAUUAUGGAUUAUUAUUACUUUUAUUGCAUCAUGAUUGUGAGCAUAAUGUAUUACAAAUCUGCUAUGGAGAGAAUAAAAAUUUUUUUUUUAUACAAAAAAUGCAUUUUAC
rnacentral:misc_RNA from 1 species